rnacentral:rRNA from 1 species
CAAGAGCGUAUGUAAAAGUUGUUGCAGUUAAAAAGCUCGUAGUUGAACCUUGGGUUUGGUUGGCCGGUCCGCUUUUUUGCGAGUACUGGAUUCAACCGAGCCUUUCCUUCUGGCUAACCAGUCGUUUCGGCGGCUGGCGAACCAGGAUUUUUACUUUGAGAAAAUUAGAGUGUUCAAAGCAGGCAUUAGCUUGAAUAUAUUAGCAUGGAAUAAUAGAAUAGGACGUUAUGGUUCUAUUUUGUUGGUUUCUAGGACCAUCGUAAUGAUUAAUAGGGACGGUCGGGGGCAUCAGUAUUCAGUUGUCAGAGGUGAAAUUCUUGGAUUUACUGAAGACUAACUACUGCGAAAGCAUUUGCCAAGGAUGUUUUCAUUAA